AACGAACGCUGGCGGCAGGCUUAACACAUGCAAGUCGAACGGGUGUAGCAAUACAUCAGUGGCAGACGGGUGAGUAACACGUGGGAACCUUCCUAGGGGUACGGAACAACUCAGGGAGACUUGAGCUAAUACCGUAUACGUCCGUGAGGAGAAAGAUUUAUCGCCCUUAGACGGGCCCGCGUCGGAUUAGGUAGUUGGGGGGGUAACGGCCUACCAAGCCUACGAUCCGUAGCUGAUCUUAGAGGAUGACCAGCCACACUGGGACUGAGACACGGCCCAGACUCCUACGGGAGGCAGCAGUGGGGAAUCUUGGACAAUGGGCGCAAGCCUGAUCCAGCCAUGCCGCGUGAGUGAAGAAGGCCUUAGGGUUGUAAAGCUCUUUUACCAGGGACGAUAAUGACGGUACCUGGAGAAUAAGCCCCGGCAAACUUCGUGCCAGCCGCCGCGGUAAUAC
rnacentral:rRNA from 1 species